AUCAGAUCGCGUCACGCCGCGGAGGGGAGGGGCGCGUCGUUCGCUCCACCCCCACCACACGCACGCCUUCACUUCCCGGCUGCCGAAUCGACCAUCGGAGCGGACCGGAAGAUCUUCAGCAGCUCCUAGAAGUGGCAGAUGGCAGAAGGAAGAACAAUGAGAGAGAAUCUGACUUGAUAGCAGGAAAAAUGUCCUGAUGAUCAGAGCUACCCUGAAGGUCCUCAUUGGACCUGGAGGACGGAAGAAUGACUGUGUAUCUGGGAUGAAGAGAGGAGAUUCUGGGUCAGGAACAGGUUGAUCUUGAUGGACCCUUAUGACCCUGACUCUUACUUCCUGUGAGAGGGUCCAUUUUGCGGACUUGGCCUUGGAACUUGACCCUGGAGGAGCUCAGCAUGAGACCUCAGACUGCUUUCCCUUUAGAUGGUCACAUGGUGAGUGAUAAGGCUGACUCCCCAUUUCCUUGGCUUUCUGGAGAGGCCCCUUGGCCGAGGCCUCUGAACUCCUGCCUGGCUCAGACAGGCCAGAGCAGAUUUUUUUCCCCUUCUCUUUCUCUCAUUCUUAAUUUUUUCCCUUCUAUUGUAAAUAAACCACCAUAAAGUUCCAUUCUGACUUAGUAUUUUGUUGGGAUUUAGAAUUUAAAUCCCUGGCAACCAACUAAAAAUAUAUUCAGUCUUGUGAAUUUCAAAACUACUCAACCAUAUUCAAACCAUUCUUUAGAAGAUGGGAUUUAGCUUUUUCCUGAUCAAUAACAAUAGAGAUACUUGGAAUAACAGAAUCAGGUCUAACAUCUCCACCCUACUCAGGGUAACAAGAUCAGGAAGGGCUGCAGCAAAACUCAAGAUUUAAUUAUUUGAGAAUAUGGCCUUCAACAGACAUGUGCAAAAAGGACAGACCUCUGGGCGAUCCUAGGUCAAGCUAGAGCCAUCAUUGGCACAUGUGAGAGACAGGAAGUGAGGUAGAGGACAGCUCAGGAGUUCUGGGGCCUUCCUAUGUGGAGGGAGAAGGUGGUUGUUGGAGCCUGGUACUUGGAGUGGAGGAGCCCACAGACUGUUUCUCCAUUUUGGUCAUUUGACUGAUAGGGACUGAUCUCUUUUCUUUGCCUCGGCUAUCCAGGGCCUUGGGCCUUUGGCCCAGCCUAAGCAGAUUGGGUAUUUAAACCCUAUUUCCUUUUCUCCCCUUUCCCUCUCUCUCCCUCUCCCUCUCCCUCUAAUACUUUUCUUCCUCCUGUUUGUAAUUAAAACACCAUAAAAAGGUU